rnacentral:rRNA from 1 species
GUGGCUCGCAGAGGGAUCCCGAUCACGGACACUAAAUGUCUCUUCUGUGCGCGGGCGGCUGAGGACGGAGCACACCUGUUCAUCAAGUGCAAAUUGGUGAAGUGCGUGUGGCGGGAGCUAUCACUCGAGGGAGAACGUGCGCAGCUGGAGAGAAUAGGUUCCGUGCAUGCAAUGCUCGAAUUCUUGUGGGGGUUGGAUGAGAAAAAGUGCCUCCAUAUACUCACCUUCUGGUGGCUGUGGUGGGCCAAUCGUAACAAGCUGCGUAAGGGCCAGAUGCCAAUCACAGCGGAGACGCUUGCGAGGCAAACGAGGGCCAAUGUACUCGAGUACUGGGAAAUCUUCCGACAGCCUGCGGUGAAGUCGCAGCCGGACAAGUGGCGGCCCCCAGUGAAUGCAGAGUACAAGAUCAACGUCGACAGAUCGUUUGUGCCGGGAGAACUCCAUGCUGGCUGGGGCGCGGUAGUGAGAACGAAGGAUGGUCGGCUGGUGUGCGCCAGGGCUGGCAGGCAGGAUCACGUCACGGAUGCCUUCGCCGCGGAGAUUUAUGCCAUGUCACAUGCUGUCACCACGGCAGCGGAUCUCGGCAUCGUUCGGCUCGAACUGGAGACGGACUCCCAACUCCUAGCUGAGGCCUUGGACUUGCAAAGAGUGGAUUCCUCUGCCUACGCAUCUGUCAUUGAGGACACGAAGUACCAGCUCAAGCUUUGGUUUACCAAGGUUGUAAUCACCGUGUGUAGACGCACGGCGAAUUCUGUAGCUCACGAUCUUGCCACAAUUGGCCGUAGUUGUGAUCCCAACCAGUACAUGGAAUGGGACUCGAAUGUACCUGCCCAUGUGGGC